CCGGAGCUAACGCGUGAAGUUGACCGCCUGGGGAGUACGGCCGCAAGGUUAAAACUCAAAGGAAUUGACGGGGACCCGCACAAGCGGUGGAUGAUGUGGAUUAAUUCGAUGCAACGCGAAAAACCUUACCUACCCUUGACAUGUCCGGAAGCCUGAAGAGAUUUGGGUGUGCCCCGAAAGGGAGCCGGAACACAGGUGCUGCAUGGCUGUCGUCAGCUCGUGUCGUGAGAUGUUGGGUUAAGUCCCGCAACGAGCGCAACCCUUGUCGUUAAUUGCCAUCAUUUAGUUGGGCACUUUAACGAGACUGCCGGUGACAAACCGGAGGAAGGUGGGGAUGACGUCAAGUCCUCAUGGCCCUUAUGGGUAGGGCUUCACACGUCAUACAAUGGUCGGUACAGAGGGUUGCCAAGCCGCGAGGUGGAGCCAAUCCCAGAAAGCCGAUCGUAGUCCGGAUUGGAGGCUGCAACUCGCCUCCAUGAAGUCGGAAUCGCUAGUAAUCGCGGAUCAGCAUGUCGCGGUGAAUACGUUCCCGGGUC
rnacentral:rRNA from 1 species